ensembl:snoRNA small nucleolar RNA SNORA2/SNORA34 family
CUGGCCCUGAAUCAAGGCCAGCAGCUUCCUGAUGCUGUUGGUUUCAAGCAGGAGCCUAAAGAAAUCUCUUUCUAUAGUCUGUUGGCCAUUUCAGAACUUGGGCAGUGAAAUGGUCAAUUCAUUAGAAAGAAACAGCU